GACGAACGCUGGCGGCGUGCCUAAUACAUGCAAGUAGAACGCUGAAGGAGGAGCUUGCUCUUCUGGAUGAGUUGCGAACGGGUGAGUAACGCGUAGGUAACCUGCCUGGUAGCGGGGGAUAACUAUUGGAAACGAUAGCUAAUACCGCAUAACAUUGACUAUUGCAUGAUAGUCAAUUAAAAGGUGCAAAUGCACCACUACCAGAUGGACCUGCGUUGUAUUAGCUAGUUGGUGGGGUAACGGCUCACCAAGGCGACGAUACAUAGCCGACCUGAGAGGGUAAGCGGCCACGCUGGGACUGAGACACGGCCCAGACUCCUACGGGAGGCAGCAGUAGGGAAUCUUCGGCAAUGGACGGAAGUCUGACCGAGCAACGCCGCGUGAGUGAAGAAGGUUUUCGUAUCGUAAAGCUCUGUUGUAAGAGAAGAACGAGUGUGUGAGUGGAAAGUUCACACUGUGACGGUAUCUUACCAGAAAGGGACGGCUAACUACGUG
rnacentral:rRNA from 1 species